UACGAAGGGGGCUAGCGUUGCUCGGAAUCACUGGGCGUAAAGCGCACGUAGGCGGCUUCUUAAGUCAGGGGUGAAAUCCUGGGGCUCAACCCCAGAACUGCCCUUGAUACUGAGGAGCUUGAGUCCGGGAGAGGUGAGUGGAACUCCGAGUGUAGAGGUGAAAUUCGUAGAUAUUCGGAAGAACACCAGUGGCGAAGGCGGCUCACGGGCCCGGUAUUGACGGUGAGGUGCGAAAGCGUGGGGAGCAAACAGG
rnacentral:rRNA from 1 species